UUGGCUUGCCUACUGGUGGGUUAUGGUAGGCACCAUCAUGACCUUAGAAAUUGGGUCGUGACAAGGUGUUUGAUGACAAACUUUAUUCUGCCAUGUCAGUCAAGAACUACGAGGUUGUCUGAUCGCUUAGACAUGAAAGCAAUGGAAAAAAACAGAACCUGGUUAAUUAAAGAUACAUUAAGCAGAAAAUUUUAGAGGAAGUGUAAUUUUUCAUGUGUUUGGUAGAGAGCAGAGUAAUAUUGACACCUGAGGAUUUGUAAAAAGGACAGAUUGUGUCAGCUAAUGCAUCAUGUACAAAUGUUCAGUAAAGACUGGACUGCCGAUUGAUACAAUUUGGAUUUGGGUGUGGAUUCAUACUGCAUUUAGUCAACCUAACUUGGGCUCUUUGACUUCAUCUAUCGCUAAGAUGUUUAGGUUGAUUGGCUAUUUGAAAUGAUUUUGNN
rnacentral:lncRNA from 1 species